GACGAACCGUGCAAACGUUAUUCGGAAUCACUGGGCGUAAAGCGCACGUAGGCGGAUGUGUCAGUCAGGGGUGAAAUCCCGGAGCUCAACUUCGGAACUGCCUUUGAUACAGCACGUCUUGAGUCCGAUAGAGGUGGGUGGAAUUCCUAGUGUAGAGGUGAAAUUCGUAGAUAUUAGGAAGAACACCGGUGGCGAAGGCGGCCCACUGGAUCGGUACUGACGCUGAGGUGCGAAAGCGUGGGGAGCAAACAGG
rnacentral:rRNA from 1 species